GGGGUUGUGGCUCAGUGGUAGAGUGCUCACCUAGCAUGUGCGAGGCCCUGGGUUCGAUCCUCAGAACCACUA
rnacentral:tRNA from 1 species